GAAACGACUGCUAAGACUGGAUAGGAAAAGUAAAGGCAUCUUCACUUUUUUAAAAGACCUUCUUUGAAGGUAUGCUUAAGGAAGGGCUUGCGACACAUUAGUUAGUUGGCAGGGCAAAGGCCUACCAAGACUAUGAUGUGUAGCUGGACUGAGAGGUUGAACAGCCACAUUGGGACUGAGACACGGCCCAAACUCCUGCGGGAGGCAGCAGUAGGGAAUUUUCGGCAAUGGAGGAAACUCUGACCGAGCAACGCCGCGUGAACGAUGAAGUAUUUCGGUAUGUAAAGUUCUUUUAUUAAGGAAGAAAAAAGAGUGGAAAAACUCCCUUGACGGUACUUAAUGAAUAAGCCCCGGCUAAUUAUGUGCCAGCAGCCGCGGUAAUACAUAAGGGGCGAGCGUUAUCCGGAAUUAUUGGGCGUAAAGGGUGCGUAGGCGGUUUAAUAAGUCUAUAGUUUAAUUUCAGUGCUUAACGCUGUUAUGCUAUAGAAACUGUUUUACUAGAGUGAGAUAGAGGCAAGCGGAAUUCCAUGUGUAGCGGUAAAAUGCGUAAAUAUAUGGAGGAACACCAGAGGCGUAGGCGGCUUGCUGGGUCUUUACUGACGCUGAGGCACGAAAGCGUGGGGAGCAAACAGGAUUAGAUACCCUGGUAGUCCACGCCGUAAACGAUGAGUACUAAGUGUCGGGUAAAACCGGUACUGAAGUUAACACAUUAAGUACUCCGCCUGAGUAGUACGUACGCAAGUAUGAAACUUAAAGGAAUUGACGGGACUCCGCACAAGCGGUGGAUCAUGUUGUUUAAUUCGAAGAUACACGAAAAACCUUACCAGGUCUUGACAUUUUCUUGCGAAGUUAUAGAAAUAUAAUGGAGGUUAUCAGGAAAACAGGUGGUGCAUGGUUGUCGUCAGCUCGUGUCGUGAGAUGUUAGGUUAAGUCCUAAAACGAGCGCAACCCUUGUCGUUAAUUGCCAGCAUGUAAUGAUGGGGACUUUAACGAGACUGCCAAUGAAAAAUUGGAGGAAGGUGGGGAUUACGUCAAAUCAUCAUGCCCCUUAUGAUCUGGGCUACAAACGUGAUACAAUGGUUGAUACAAAGAGUAGCUGAAACGCGAGUUCUUAGCCAAUCUCACAAAAUCAAUCUCAGUUCGGAUUGAAGUCUGCAACUCGACUUCAUGAAGUUGGAAUCGCUAAUAAUCGCGAAUCAGCAUGUCGCGGUGAAUACGUUCGCGGGGUUUGUACACACCGCCCGUCA
rnacentral:rRNA from 1 species